rnacentral:lncRNA from 1 species
CUGCUGUUGGAGGUGACGAGGGACAGCAGGACGUGCUGCUUCUCCCUGUGUCCAGACACUCGGGCUCCAGUAUCUCUCAGUGGAUCAGGAGUCAAUGCCUCACCCCCGCUCAGUGUGGGGGGAAGGGCGAGGAUACAGGAGUGAAGAAACAAACAGGGACGUGCUGAUGGAGAAUGGCCAUCAGGUGUCUGCGAGCAGGUGCCCUCGGGCGGGCUGGAGCCUGCGAAGGGAAGUGAAUUCAGCUGACUGCAGGAAGGAAAGGGGCGAGGACGGGCGAGGAGUGGGAGACGCAGCUGGCUGCCUGAGCACGAAGGUUGUCCCCCCUCACGUUCCUGCCACUGGUGAGUAGCAAGACGAGAGUCUUUUCCAGAAGCCAGCUCUGGGUGGCAGCAACUGUUUCUAUUGUUUUUCUGGUUUCUGUUUCAUUAUUUCUGCUCUGACAUUUGUUAUUUCCUUCCCUCUAAGUACUUUGGGCUGAGUUAGUUCUGUUUUUAGUUCCUUGAGGUAUAAGCUGAGGUGGUUUAUUGAGACCAUUGUUUCUUCGUCUUCCUCUUCUCCCUCUCCUCCUUCUCCUCCUUUUUUUAAUUAUUAUGUUAGUCACCAUACAGUACCUCAUUAGUUGUUGAUGUAGUGUUCCAUGAUUCAUUGUUUGCGUAUAACACCCAGUGCUCCAUUGCCCCUUUGGUUCCUUUUUUUUUUUUUUUUUUUUUUUUUUAAGAUUUUAAGUAAUCAAUACACCCAACAUGGGGCUUGAACUUACAACCCGGAGAUCAAGCGUUAUGCUCCACGGACUGAGCCAGCCAGGCGCCGAGAUCUUUCUUUUUUCUUAAGGUAAGCGUUUAUCGCUAUCAACAUUCCUCUUACACUGGUUUUGCUGAAUUCCGUACGUUUAGUGUGUUGUUUCCACUUAUGCUUGUCUCGAAAUAUUUCUUGGUUUCCCUUUGAUUUCUUCUUUGCCCCCACGGGUUGUGCAGGUGUGCGUUGUUGAAUCCACGCAUAUUUGUGAAUUUUCCUGUUUUCCUGCUGUUACUAAUUACCAGUUUCAUGUCCUUGUGGUCAGAAAAGAUACCUGAUACGAUGUCAGUCUUCGUAAAUCUUCGUAAAUCUGUUAAGACGUGUUUUGGGACCUAGCGUAUGAUGUUUCCUGGUGCGUACUCUGUGGACGCGGGUCGACUCUGCCGCUGCUGGGUCGGGGGGGUCACGAUGUCUGUAGGUCGAGGUGGUCUCCAGUGCGUUUGGGGGCAAUGCUUCCUAACUGAUGCUCUGUCUGCUGAGCUGUCCAGUGUCGAAACUGGAGGUAUUGCUCAUAUUUUAAAUAAAUAGAAUAGAAAUAAAUAGAAUACA